GAUGAACGCUGGCGGCGUGCCUAAUACAUGCAAGUCGAGCGAACAGACGCGGAGCUUGCUCCUCUCACGUUAGCGGCGGACGGGUGAGUAACACGUGGAUCACCUACCUAUAAGACUGGUAUAACUUCGGGAAACCGGAGCUUAUCCCGGAUAAUCUCUUGAACCGCAUGGUUCAAUAGUGAAAGUCGGUUGUUGUGUCUCUUCUCGCGGGAUCUCCGCCGGAUGAUCGAGUAGUGAAGGUACCGGCGUUUCAAGGCGACGAUGCGUAACCGACCGAAGAGGAUGAUCAGCCACACUGGAACUGAGACACGGUACAGACUCCUGCGGGAGGCAGCCAGAGGGAAACUUGCGGAAGGGGCGGAAGCCUGACGGAGCAACGCCGAGUGAGUGAUGAAGGUCUUCGGAUCGUAAAACUCUGUUAUUAGGGAAGAACAAAUGUGUAAGUAACUAUGCACGUCUGGACGGUAACUAAGCAGAAAGCCACGGCUAACUACGUG
rnacentral:rRNA from 1 species